UCCCCGGUAGCUCAGCCGGUAGAGCAGGUGGCUGUUAACCACUUGGUCGGGGGUUCGAGUCCCUCCCGGGGAGCCA
rnacentral:tRNA from 2 species